UCAGCAAGGAGCUUAGCCUCGCUGGAUGGUCUCAGAGCUUCAAGUGUCAAGUUUUCAUCUUUGAAACCAGGGACCCUUAGGCAGAGCCAGUUCCGUCGUUUGGUUGUCAAAGCUGCUUCUGUUGUUGCCCCUAAGGUACUUUCUCAGUUCUUUGUUUAGAAUCAUUGUUGUUUGGUUACUUUUUCUGGAUGAGAACUUAUCUGAAUCUUGGAUUGUUGUUUUGUUGUUCUGGCCAUUCGUUUUUUUGUGUUACACAAUCCAAUCCACUAAAUGAUGUCUAAAGAAACU
rnacentral:lncRNA from 1 species